AGGGUUUGAUCCUGGCUCAGAUUGAACGCUGGCGGAAUGCUUUACACAUGCAAGUCGAACGGCAGCACGGGGGCAACCCUGGUGGCGAGUGGCGAACGGGUGAGUAAUACAUCGGAACGUGCCCAGUCGUGGGGGAUAACGUAGCGAAAGCUACGCUAAUACCGCAUACGAUCUGAGGAUGAAAGCGGGGGACCGUAAGGCCUCGCGCGAUUGGAGCGGCCGAUGGCAGAUUAGGUAGUUGGUGGGGUAAAGGCCCACCAAGCCUGCGAUCUGUAGCUGGUCUGAGAGGACGACCAGCCACACUGGGACUGAGACACGGCCCAGACUCCUACGGGAGGCAGCAGUGGGGAAUUUUGGACAAUGGGCGCAAGCCUGAUCCAGCCAUUCCGCGUGCAGGAUGAAGGCCUUCGGGUUGUAAACUGCUUUUGUACGGAACGAAACGGCUCUCUCUAAUACAGGGGGCUAAUGACGGUACCGUAAGAAUAAGCACCGGCUAACUACGUGCCAGCCGCCGCGGUAAUACA
rnacentral:rRNA from 1 species